UAAUGCUUCCAAAUAAUAUUUUCAUCUUUCAAUUUUAUUUUCUUCAUAACGAACCAUCCAAAUUUAUGUUAACUUAUUCUUUUAAGUGCUUUAGCAUAGUAUCUUGAGUGAAUUUGUCCUUAAGAUAAAUUCUUCAUUUUGAAUGCUUGAAAAGUCCAACAUCCAAUCUUAAAACACAUGAUUAGAAUCAUAAUUACUCAAAGUUUGAGAAUCAUCAAAAUUAAUUGUAGGGCCA
rnacentral:lncRNA from 1 species